UGCCCGCAAGGGUGACGGAGCGACGCCGCGUGUAAACCGAUGACGCCCCUCGGGGUGUAAAGGUCUUUUAUUAGGGACGAACAAAUGACGGUACCUAAUGAAUAAGGGGCUGCUAAACUCGUGCCAACACCACCGGUAAUACCAGUGCCCCAAGCGUUAUUCGGAUUUAUUGGGCGUAAAGCGUGCGCAGGCGGCUUAUUAAGUUAAAGGUAAAAGCCCGAAGCUCAACUUCGGUUCUGCCUUUAAGACUGAUAGGCUAGAGGCUGGGAGAGGCGAGCGGAACUUCUGGUGUAGGGGUAAAAUCCGUUAAUAUCGGCAGGAACACCAAAUGCAAAAGCAACUUGCUAGAACAAAACUGACGCUGUUUGCACGAAAGCUAGGGGAGCGAACGGGAUUAGAUACCCUCGUAGUCCUAGCCGUAAACGAUGGGCACUA
rnacentral:rRNA from 1 species